CGCCCAGCCCCUUUCUGCGCCACGGUGAGCAGAGCUGCCCGAUCGCGUUCAGCCCUCCCGGGAAACGCACGUCCACGGCAGGGCUCAGAUGGAUUUACUUUAAGGCUCUGGUAUCUUGAGAAGUAAACUCCUAAAUGUUAUUCCAUGGCCAGAGAUCCUGUUUUUGCCUGUUUAAGACACUUGCUGGGGACCCUGACUGCAGGCCUGCCUUCUGCUUGUCCACAUUUGGAGGAUCGUUUGGCCCCUUUAAGCUAAAUGUGAGGAUAAUUAGCCCAGGAUUCAGAUGUGACCACAUAUAAGAAUCUUGCAUUUCUAAUUCAAUUUUAUCGUCUGCUGAACUAGUAUAAUUGGAUCAAUGAAGCAAAGAAGGAGUGUUAUCAACAGUGUUGAAUGUCAAUGAGAGACUGAGAGGAGGGAGACAGAAAAGUGUCAUUAGAUUCAUCAUUAUGGAGUAAGUUGAUGUUGCCAGAAGAUGAGUGCUGAGAAUGUGAUAUUGGACCUCAUGCAAUUGGAAAUCUGAACUUUGGAUGGAGGACUUUGCUAGGA